rnacentral:rRNA from 1 species
GUCGACGGACUUAACUCAUUCUUUUAGAUUGAGAGCGGUUAGUGGCGGACUGGUGAGUAACACGUAAGCAACCUGCCUAUCAGAGGGGAAUAACAGUGAGAAAUCAUUGCUAAUACCGCAUAAGCUAGUAGUAUCGCAUGAUAUAGCUAGAAAAGGAGCAAUCCGCUGAUAGAUGGGCUUGCGUCUGAUUAGCUAGUUGGUGGGGUAACGGCCUACCAAGGCGACGAUCAGUAGCCGGACUGAGAGGUUGAACGGCCACAUUGGGACUGAGAUACGGCCCAGACUCCUACGGGAGGCAGCAGUCGGGAAUAUUGCGCAAUGGAGGAAACUCUGACGCAGUGACGCCGCGUAUAGGAAGAAGGUUUUCGGAUUGUAAACUAUUGUCGUGAGGGAAGAAAUUGACAGUACCUCAGGAGGAAGCUCCGGCUAACUAUGUGCCAGCAGCCGCGGUAAUACAUAGGGAGCAAGCGUUAUCCGGAUUUAUUGGGUUUAAAGGGUGCGUAGGCGGUCCGUUAAGUCAGCGGUAAAAUUGCGGGGCUCAACCCCGUCGAGCCGUUGAAACUGGCAGACUUGAGUUGGCGAGAAGUACGCGGAAUGCGCGGUGUAGCGGUGAAAUGCAUAGAUAUCGCGCAGAACUCCGAUUGCGAAGGCAGCGUACCGGCGCCAGACUGACGCUGAGGCACGAAAGCGUGGGGAUCGAACAGGAUUAGAUACCCUGGUAGUCCACGCAGUAAACGAUGAAUGCUGGUUGUCCGGGUCGAAUGAGAUGNGCGGCGAAGCGAAAGCGAUAAGCNUU